rnacentral:lncRNA from 1 species
UUUUAGAGAAACUGCUAUGUUUACACUGAGGGUUAAUCCAGCCUCUAAAGCCUCUAGUGGCUGUCUCAUUGACAGCCGCUAGAGGCGCUUGCGUGCUUCUCACUGUGAAAAUCACAGUGAGAAGACGCCAGCGUCCAUAGGAAAGCAUUGUAAAUGCUUUCCUAUGAGACUGGCUGAAUGUGCGUGCGGCUCCUGCCGCGCAUGCGCAUUCAGCCGAUGACGUCGCUAGGAGGAAGGAGAGGAGGAGGAAAGCUCCCCGCCCGGCGCUGGAGAAAGGUAAGUGUUUAACCCCUUCCUCUCCCCAGAGCCCGGCGGGAGGGGGACCCUGAGGGUGGGGGCACCCUCAGGGCACUAUAGUGCCAGGAAAACGAGUAUGUU